CUGUUUGAUCCAACUUCCUCCUCAGACGAGAACGCACAGAACCUUCCAGCGACCAAAUCCCCGGCUGAAGCCCGCGGAUCGUCUCCAAACUUCGGCUGCUCUGAAGGCGAUGAGCGUAGUGUCCUCCACACGGACCGACGGAGCCGGAGAGGACGUACUGACGCUCCGCAGAUAUGGCGCCAUCUGCUGGACGACAAACAAGCAGGCAAAGCCAGGAUAAGUUCAAAGGGACCUGGUGGAGUUUGAGAGGGAAGGGGACAGUUUGAUGGAUGUUUCAUCGUACAGUAUAUACAGCUGGAGAGCCGCAGCUGGUUUCUGUUUGAGACGGAUCAAGAGGACAACCGUAGGAACCGAAGCAGCAGAGGAUGUCGUCCUCAAAACAUUUCAAUUAAGUUCUAGGAAACAAAAGAGCGGACCAACAGCCAUCCAUCUCCAGGUUAACACCCCAUUUAACAAUGUUGCUGAGAGGCCAAAGACACUUGUUUACAGUUGCAUUUGGAGUUUGACUGAAAUCUUUUUACACCCCGAGGCAUGUUGGGAUUGCAGUGGAGUACAUAUUUUCCUGUGUUUUGUGAGAUAAAGCCAUAUAUCUGUGGUUUCCAAUACAACUUAGCGUGCUGCUGCACAACACCAA